rnacentral:rRNA from 1 species
UGAGGAAAAGAAACUAACAAGGAUUCCCCUAGUAACGGCGAGUGAAGCGGGAAAAGCUCAAAUUUGUAAUCUGGCACCUUCGGUGUCCGAGUUGUAAUCUCGAGAAGUAUUUUCCGCACUGGACCGCACACAAGUCUGUUGGAAUACAGCGUCAUAGUGGUGAGAACCCCGUAGAUGGUGCGGACGGCCCAGUGCUUUGUGAUAUGCUUUCAAAGAGUCGAGUUGUUUGGGAAUGCAGCUCAAAUUGGGUGGUAAAUUCCAUCUAAAGCUAAAUAUUGGCGAGAGACCGAUAGCGAACAAGUACCGUGAGGGAAAGAUGAAAAGCACUUUGGAAAGAGAGUUAACAGUACGUGAAAUUGUUGGAAGGGAAACGCUUGAAGUCAGACUUGCAUUUUGGAGUUCAGCCGCAAGGUGUAUUCUUCAAUUCGCAGGCCAGCAUCAGUUUUUGGGGGUGGAAAAGCGCGGUUUGAAGGUAGCAGCUCCGCGGCUGUGGUAUAGCUUUCCGCUGGAUUCACUUUUGCGGACUGAGGAACGCAGUACGCUUUUUGCAAGAUUCUAGAGUCUUUCGUACUUAGGAUGCUGGUGGAAUGGCUUUAAACGACCCGUCUUGAACC